rnacentral:rRNA from 1 species
GACGAACACUGGCGGCGCGCCUAACACAUGCAAGUCGAACGAGCGAGAGAGAGCUUGCUUUCUUGAGCGAGUGGCGAACGGGUGAGUAACGCGUGAGGAACCUGCCUCAAAGAGGGGGACAACAGUUGGAAACGACUGCUAAUACCGCAUAAGCCCACGGUGCCGCAUGGCACAGAGGGAAAAGGAGCAAUCCGCUUUGAGAUGGCCUCGCGUCCGAUUAGCUAGUUGGUGAGGUAACGGCCCACCAAGGCGACGAUCGGUAGCCGGACUGAGAGGUUGAACGGCCACAUUGGGACUGAGACACGGCCCAGACUCCUACGGGAGGGAGCAGUGGGGAAUAUUGCACAAUGGGGGAAACCCUGAUGCAGCGACGCCGCGUGGAGGAAGAAGGUCUUCGGAUUGUAAACUCCUGUUGUUGGGGAAGAUAAUGACGGUACCCAACAAGGAAGUGACGGCUAACUACGUG